UUGAAGCACCCAAAUAGAAACAUGGAGAGCCUAGUGGAGCGCUCGCUCUUCCUCCGCUGUCCACCACCAGACGACCGCAAAGACCAUCACUAGUGAGACACGGACACACUCAAAUACUGUACAUGAAUUCUUAACUAUUAACAUUCUGACACUGUGACCCUUUUGUGUGAGUUUUUUCCCCCUAGAUUUGACAGACCGAUAUUCUCCCAUGUAACAUAUCGCUCCCUGUGUCUACAGUAAUGUGGUCACUCCUAAGCCAGUACCUUAUUCAGACUUUAUCGCAGCGCUGAUGUACAGAGAGACCACCAACCCAGACAACAGGACGACUUACCCCUCAAACAGCACAAUAUCCCCCAUCAUCCUGGAAUGUAUGGAGAAGAGGGGCAGGCUACUGCAGAUGCAUGAGGAGAUGGAGGCGUUUGAGUCGUCCGAGGACUCCCUGCAGUACCUGGAGAAACUGGUGAUGAAGAAAGGGAUUAGAACCGGUACCCCCUGGAGGAUGAACAAGAGGUUCAAGGUUCUCUCUAAGUGGAGGAAAAAGGCAACGAUGGUCUCCAAGCUGCUCAAUUUUGGAGGCUGUUCAGAGGCGGCGAAACAACAGAGAGACAACAUGUUGCCCACGAGGCCAUUGGGUUGGGCAACCUUUCACUCAUGGACACACACUCAUGGACACACACACACACACUCACGGACACAAACACACACAUACAUGGCUAAACUUGGCAAUGGCAAAAAGACAGAUAGGAUGUUGCAGAUGGAUUUCUCUGGUUAAUAUUAAUAUCCAUGGCAGUGCUGAUUUUGAUGUCACUGUUUUUAUGUUGCAGGUGUGACUCCCCCUGUGCCACUUUUAAAGCGCCUUGCCAUGCAACAGGAGAAAAUACCCUUAGUCAACGAGAACGAAGUGUCUGAAAUGAGCAAGCCUCCAUCUCCCAGAAAGAUCCUGGCUGCAGAAUCUGGCCUGUCCACAUGUAUGGCCUCCACCCAGGUUGCCCAGUCAGCCCCAUUCUCUCCACCUCCAUCUGAUCAAUAUACCACACCGCCAACAGUAGCCACCCCACCUACAUCAGCCGUGGCCCAUAAGGCAUCUCCCCCUAGCAGUGUGGCCUCCAGCUCCAUGGACCACCUUGUCCAGUCCAGGGCCAGCUCUUCCCCCAGACACAUCACCCUGGUCCUGCCUGAGGGUCCCGCCACCCCAGCUUCCACCUCAGCCUCAGCCUCAGCCUCCACCUCCGCUCAGCCCAAUACCAGAUACAUCCCUAAACCCACCAAUGUGGCCGUUCCCAUCCACCUGACCUCCCUCUGUGUUCUUACUACCCUGGAGGAGGAAGGGGAGGAGGAGGAAGGAGAGGAGGAGGAAGGAGAGGAGGAGGAAGGAGAGGAGGAAGACGGAGAGGAGGAGGAGGUCGGGAAGAAAAAGGAGGUGCAUGCUACAGUAUCGUCCUCCCUCCUCAAGACGCUCUCCUCUCUGACGCUGACCCCCGAGGUGGCCCUCCAUGCCACCCUGGUGCACUCGCGCCAACAGAGCAGGCAUGGGCAGCUGGAGGAAUGUCAGCCAGCUAGCCCCAGCUACCAGCAGGAGGAGUGUCAUCCAGCUAACCCCAGCUACCAGCAGGAGGAGUGUCAUCCAGCUAACCUCCGCUACCAGCAGGAGGAGUGUCAGCCAGCUAACCCCAGCUACCAGCAGGAGGAGUGUCAGCCAGCUAACCCCAGCUACCAGCCUUACCAGGAGAGCCCGUCCAGGGGGAAGAGUGACCGAGACCAGGG
rnacentral:lncRNA from 13 species